CCCGGUGCCAGAACAGAAGUUCUGAAGGAGCAGCAGCCCCCCGCCGUCCCCCUGGGCUCUCCCCCGACCCGGGACACCGGGCUGUGCCACAGGACCAGCUCUGCCAGAUUCGGGAGCCGCUCUCCCCGCUCCCCUCACGGCUCACACAGCAGAUUGCAUCCAUCCACAAGUUCAGCUUCAGAAAAGUCCUUUGUGCCUGCUCAGGAUCCUGAACGAUCGCUAACAGAAUACAUCCAUCGCUUAGAGGUCAUCCAGCAAAGACUAGGGGGUGUGCAACCAGGACAAGUUCCAGGCCCACCUCGCCAGAGAAGCAUGAAAAAGUGACAAGAACGCUUCCGAGCUCCAUCCCGCGACCCGCUCCCCGAGUUACUGCUUCCUUCUGAGUCGGCCCAUACUGAAUGGAGGCAUUUACCAGCUCUCGUGCAACCGAAUAAAGGGCAGUGCUUUUGCAUCAGAUUUUUAUAUGACUCUUUUU
rnacentral:lncRNA from 1 species